UUUUGUAAAGGUUCACAAGAGUUUUAAAAUGGUUCAAA
rnacentral:sRNA from 1 species